GNNAAANNNCNGCAGUCGACGAUUCCUACGGGAGGCAGCAGUGGGGAAUCUUGGACAAUGGGCGCAAGCCUGAUCCAGCCAUGCCGCGUGAGUGAUGAAGGCCUUAGGGUCGUAAAGCUCUUUCGCCAGGGAUGAUAAUGACAGUACCUGGUAAAGAAACCCCGGCUAACUCCGUGCCAGCAGCCGCGGUAAUACGGAGGGGGUUAGCGUUGUUCGGAAUUACUGGGCGUAAAGCGUACGUAGGCGGAUCAGAAAGUUAGGGGUGAAAUCCCGGGGCUCAACCCCGGAACUGCCUCUAAAACUCCUGGUCUUGAGUUCGAGAGAGGUAAGUGGAAUUCCGAGUGUAGAGGUGAAAUUCGUAGAUAUUCGGAGGAACACCAGUGGCGAAGGCGGCUUACUGGCUCGAUACUGACGCUGAGGUACGAAAGUGUGGGGAGCAAACAGGAUUAGAUACCCUGGUAGUCCACACCGUAAACGAUGAAUGCCAGUCGUCGGGUAGCAUGCUAUUCGGUGACACACCUAACGGAUUAAGCAUUCCGCCUGGGGAGUACGGUCGCAAGAUUAAAACUCAAAGGAAUUGACGG
rnacentral:rRNA from 1 species